UACAGAGGGUGCUAGCGUUGUUCGGAAUCAUUGGGCGUAAAGGGCGUGUAGGCGGUUUGUUAAGUCAUGUGUGAAAUCCCGGGGCUCAACCUCGGAACUGCCUUUGAUACUGCGAAUCUUGAGUCCGAUAGAGGUGGGUGGAAUUCCUAGUGUAGAGGUGAAAUUCGUAGAUAUUAGGAAGAACACCGGUGGCGAAGGCGGCCCACUGGAUCGGUACUGACGCUGAGGUGCGAAAGCGUGGGGAGCAAACAGG
rnacentral:rRNA from 1 species